CAGGGAAGCAUUCAACUCUUACCUAAUGGAUGCUGUAAAACAUGUAUCCAAAAGAAGGACUCCUGCAAGGUACAGGCAUUUGAUGAUUACUUGUCCUACCAAGGGUGCAGAUCUGUGAGCAGGAUCAAAAUGUCUCGCUGUGAAGGAGCCUGCGGAAAAGUUUCAAGGUACUCUGCUGUAGAACAUACUAUGUCCCAUACAUGUUCUUGCUGCCAAGAGGUUCAGACUACAAGAAGUAAAGUCAAGCUGCAGUGCCCCGAUGGAACAUUAAUUGAUCAUGAGUACAUUGAUGUGCUGGAGUGCAAGUGUGCUGGCACCAAAUGUCCAGAUAGAAAC